UCAGAAAGGCUUUUGAGGGAGCACCAUGGUGUUGGCCCUGGUUUUCCUCACACUCCUCAGUUAUAGCUCAGGGGUCAAUUCACGGCCCCCUUGGACUCAGCCUGUCUCAGCAUCUGCGUCCCCAGGACAAACAGCAAAGCUCUCCUGCACUGUAAACAAUGAUGGCAACACCAUUUCCUGGUAUCAGCAGAGACCUGGACAAGCUCCUCGUUUUGUGCUCUAUGGUACCAGCACCCGGGGAGAAGGGAUCCCAGAUCGGUUCACUGGUUCCAGGUCUGGAAACAUUGGCUAUUUAACCAUCGGCAACAUCCAGGCUGAAGAUGAAGCAGAUUAUUACUGUUACAUGUGGUCUCGCACUGACAGCAUGUAUCACAGUGGCAGAGUCUGA